rnacentral:rRNA from 1 species
GUGGGGAAUAUUGGGCAAUGGGCGAAAGCCUGACCCAGCAACGCCGCGUGAAGGAAGAAGGUUUUCGGAUCGUAAACUUCUAUCCUUGGUGAAGAUAAUGACGGUAGCCAAGAAGGAAGCCCCGGCUAACUACGUGCCAGCAGCCGCGGUAAUACGUAGGGGGCAAGCGUUGUCCGGAAUGAUUGGGCGUAAAGGGCGCGUAGGCGGCCUGGUAAGUCUGGAGUGGAAGUCCUGCUUUUAAGGUGGGAAUUGCUUUGGAUACUGUCGGGCUUGAGUGCAGGAGAGGUAAGUGGAAUUCCCGGUGUAGCGGUGAAAUGCGUAGAGAUCGGGAGGAACACCAGUGGCGAAGGCGACUCACUGGACUGUAACUGACGCUGAGGCGCGAAAGUGUGGGGAGCAAACAGGAUUAGAAACCCUUGUAGUCC